rnacentral:rRNA from 1 species
AUGGCCAAGGAGAAGAGGGCGGCGCUGGAGCGUGCAAAAAAGGCGUCGGCAUCGGAGAAGGCGAAGGGGAGAUCCACCAGCCGCGGAGGGUCCUCGUCCAGAUCCCGCCUGCCGAAGGGCUGGGUCCAAGGAGACUGGAUCCAGUCGACCAUCACGGAGAAUGACCUCCUCGACAUGGCCAACGAGGGCUUGAUCCCCCACGGAGCUGCGAGGCUUCCGGGGAAGGAGUGGCAGCCCCAGCCAGAAGAGGGUGAGUGUGUGCUUUUGGCCACUCAUGUUGAUCGUGGGUUUUCCUUGCCACCGAGUGUUUUCUUUCGUGGCUUCUUGAACUUCUUCGGAGCGCAGCUCCACCACUUUACCCCAAACUCCAUUGCCUAUCUUGCUGCGUUCGUGUCCAUGUGUGAGGGUUUCUUGGGCUGUCGACCGCACUGGGGUUUGUUCAAACAUAUAUUCACGUGUCGAUCUCAGACCGUGAAGAAGGCGAGCCCAGGUGAUGAGAGAACCCGAGUCGUCCAAAUGUGCGGGGGCCUGGGGAUUCAGGUGAGGAAUAAGAGCACCUUCCCGCCCAUGACCUUUCCCGAGUCCGUCAGAGGCUGGCAGUCGACUUGGUUCUACUGCCAGGUCCAGUCGACGCCAGGGCGGUCGAGUGGACUCCCUCCGUUCACCAUGGACCGAGUGAGCAAGCCUUCCCCUCUGAAGCUGAUUCCGGAGGAGAAAGCCGACGUGAAGAUGUUGAUGGAGCGCGUGGUGCAGUUGGUUCGGGAGGGAGUGACGGGCAUGGACCUCCUGGAGGUUUUCCUCAGGCGUCGCAUCCAGCCUCUCCAGUUCCGGAGCCACUGCAUGUGGUUGUACUGUGGGACCGAAGACGAGACUAGAGUCCAUCCAGAAGCAGUCGACGAUGUCACUCUGGAAAGAUGGAUGGCAGCCGUCACCGGAAACAAGGACAACCCACGCGGAGCCAGAAGGAUUCCUCCACUCGACCACAACAGCGACUCAAACAAGGUACACUUGCUCUGCACUCCACUGCGCCCUCGUCGUAUUCAUUUCUGUUAA